AAUAUUGGACAAUGGGGGCAACCUUGAUCCAGCCAUGCCCCGUGUGUGAAGAAGGUCUUCGGAUUGUAAAGCACUUUAAGUUGGGAGGAAGGGCUGUAGGCUAAUACCCUGAAGUCUUGACGUUACCAACAGACUAAGCACCGGCUAACACUCUGCCAGCAGCCGGGGUAAUACAGAGGGUGCAAGCGUUAAUCGGAAUUACUUGGCGUAAAGCGCGGGUAGGUGGUUUGGCAAGUUGAAAGUGAAAGCCCCGGGGUCAACCUGGGAACUGCUUUCAAAACUGGCAAGCUAGAGUAUGGCAGAGGGUAGUGGAAUUUCCUGUGUAGCGGUGAAAUGCGUAGAUAUAGGAAGGAACACCAGUGGCGAAGGCGACUACCUGGACUGAUACUGACACUGAAGUGCGAAAGCGUGGGGAGCAAAC
rnacentral:rRNA from 1 species